UACGAAGGGUGCAAGCGUUACUCGGAAUUACUGGGCGUAAAGCGUGCGUAGGUGGUUUGUUAAGUCUGUUGUGAAAGCCCCGGGCUCAACCUGGGAAUGGCAAUGGAUACUGGCAGGCUAGAGUGCGGUAGAGGGUAGUGGAAUUCCCGGUGUAGCGGUGAAAUGCGUAGAGAUCGGGAGGAACACCAGUGGCGAAGGCGGCCAUCUGGGACAACACUGACGCUGAAGCACGAAAGCGUGGGGAGCAAACAGG
rnacentral:rRNA from 1 species